rnacentral:rRNA from 1 species
AUUGAACGCUGGCGGCAUGCCUUACACAUGCAAGUCGAACGGUAACAGGUCUUCGGAUGCUGACGAGUGGCGAACGGGUGAGUAAUACAUCGGAACGUGCCCGAUCGUGGGGGAUAACGAGGCGAAAGCUUUGCUAAUACCGCAUACGAUCUACGGAUGAAAGCGGGGGAUCUUCGGACCUCGCGCGGACGGAGCGGCCGAUGGCAGAUUAGGUAGUUGGUGGGAUAAAAGCUUACCAAGCCGACGAUCUGUAGCUGGUCUGAGAGGAUGAUCAGCCACACUGGGACUGAGACACGGCCCAGACUCCUACGGGAGGCAGCAGUGGGGAAUUUUGGACAAUGGGCGAAAGCCUGAUCCAGCCAUGCCGCGUGCAGGAUGAAGGCCUUCGGGUUGUAAACUGCUUUUGUACGGAACGAAAAGCCUCUUCCUAAUAAAGAGGGGUCAUGACGGUACCGUAAGAAUAAGCACCGGCUAACUACGUG